rnacentral:rRNA from 1 species
AUUGAACGCUGGCGGCAGGCCUAACACAUGCAAGUCGAGCGGCAGCGGGAAAGUAGCUUGCUACUUUUGCCGGCGAGCGGCGGACGGGUGAGUAAUGCCUGGGAAAUUGCCCAGUCGAGGGGGAUAACAGUUGGAAACGACUGCUAAUACCGCAUACGCCCUACGGGGGAAAGCAGGGGACCUUCGGGCCUUGCGCGAUUGGAUAUGCCCAGGUGGGAUUAGCUAGUUGGUGAGGUAAUGGCGCACCAAGGCGACGAUCCCUAGCUGGUCUGAGAGGAAGAUAAGCCACACUGGAACUGAGACACGGUCCAGACUCCUACGGGAGGCAGCAGUGGGGAAUAUUGCACAAUGGGGGAAACCCUGAUGCAGCCAUGCCGCGUGUGUGAAGAAGGCCUUCGGGUUGUAAAGCACUUUCAGCGAGGAGGAAAGGUUGAUGCCUAAUACGUAUCAACUGUGACGUUACUCGCAGAAGGAGCACCGGCUAACUCCGUGCCAGCAGCCGCCGUAAUAC